CAGUUUUAAAAACAUGAGGAUGCAGAGUUUGUUCAGUAGGCAAAUACAGAAAGACUUGGGAGGAGAGGACAGGGAAUUCAGAAUUGUGGAUACCUCAUGCGUUUGACAAAAGGGGAGAGUGUUGAGCAGGCCCCUUGAAACAGUCUAACAUUGAUGGGCCUUGCGGAUUCCUGUGUCUUCUCUCCUCCAGGUGGGUCUGCUUCUCCUUUAUUUUAUUUUCGAGGUUUGAAAGACGAGGAGGAUGGAACAUGCUUCUGUGCCAGGGUAAAAUCUAUUUUUCUGUAGUUUCUGUUUCCAUAUCUGACUUCCUAGUCAUCUUUCUUCUUCACAGAAAGGAGUCUUUAAUUGUGAUGUGUGGUAUUCGGGAACCUUCUGUGUAGAUGAAUAAGCCAGAAGGCCACAGAAGAGGCAAGGGGAUUAUUAAUGACCGAGGUUGUUGUUCUUCUGCUAAUACAGUGGAUGAACAGUGCAGCUGCUUUGGGUCACACCCCAAACUGUCAUUUUUUCCAAGUAUGGUAAAGUCACGCUUCUAGCCUUUUUUCUAAAGGAUGCACAUGUGAAUAAAUCCUUCAUUAACACAGAGAUAUUCGAGUUGCUUAUACAAUAGGAGAGUAGGCUGGCUAGUAAAGCUAAGUGUGUUCAGUGGCUGACAGUUCUAGUAAUUUAUUAUAUUUUUUCCUGUCAGUUUUACGUAUACACUUUGUAAAGCAACUGGACUUUAGUUUUCUCCUUUUCUGUUUGUAAACAGAGUGAAAGCCUCCCUGAUAGUCUAGGAACCAAUUAAAUAUUUCUUUAAUAGCUCAACUAAUUGCUAACUAUUAUUUAUUUUGCUGUGCUUGCUUACGGUACAGAAAGUUAAAGGCACUGAGAGAUGAUAGAGCAUUAAUGAGAUUAAUGGUGCAAACUAAUUGGGGUUCUUACUGCCAGGUCUAAUGUAACAUGUUAAUAUGCGGCACUUAUAGGAGGCAUGUUUUGAACAUGCCUUGGGUUGUUUAAAGGGACAAUUUAAUUUUAAAUAGACACCUUCCUUAGCAACUUGGAAAGUCUGUCUCGUUGCCCAAGGGUCAUUGAGGAAUUUAUUAUGGUUAGAAAAAAGGGAAAGAUGGUGUUUGUUAAUAAUAAACGAAACUGUUCGCUGUCUUGAAUCCAAUGCCUUGUUUUGAGAAGAGGUUUGCUGUGAACCUUUGAGGAAUAUUUGUCUUCUAGGAACUCAGUUGAGUGUGGUUUUCAGCUCAUAGAGCAUUCAAGUCUGAAUUUUGGAAAUGUCCUCUGUAAUCUUUAUUGCUAUUCAAGAAAAUCAAUAAAAGAACUUGUAAACCUGAGAUCUUUUGGCUUGGGUUUCUUUAGCUAAAGUUCCCCUUGAGAUCAGUAUGCAAGUGGCAGGUGUUAAUGUCCAGGGCUGAUUUGAUGCUCAUGAGAUUGUAUGUCAUGUACAUAAAUUACGUCUAAAGUCAUUAAUUUUCUUCAAUUUCAAGAUAAAAGUACAAAAUCUGUCUGUGGGGUUUGGAAUUAAUAUCGAAGGUUGGGCUUGAUCGAAGUACCCCUGAAUAUCUGUCACGGCUCUUACAUUGGCCAUAGUUUUACUUCGUCCUAAGCAUUUGUGACAACUUCCCAUGUAUCAAAUUUAAUUAUUUCUUAAAACACAGAAGCUCUAUCCAUAGAAACAAUAUAGUGGACCCAUUAUGUAAAUGAACAAUAGAGACAUUGAAUUCGGUCAUGCCCAUGGUGCCUUCAAUACAAGAAUGUAACCUACAAACAUUUUCUUUUCUCUAGGACGGUAGAUCCUUCUAGUUAGUUAGCUUCCAGCUGUCAACUUGGCACAGCCUAGAGUUAUUUGAGGGAGUCUCAAUUAAGGGGUUGCGUUGGCUUAUGAGUGUGACUUGGGCAUUCCCUUAAUUGAUUAGUAGUUGAUACAGGAAGACCCAGUGGGUGUUACCAACCCUGGGCUGAUGGACCUGAGCUUUAUAAGAAAGAUAGCCGAAGUUGAGCCUAGGAGAGAAGCAGUAUUGGGCAUCCCUCCAUGGUUUCUGCCUCAAGUCCCUGCCCUGCUAGCAUCCUUGCCCCGAUGUCUCUCAAGGAUGGCCUGUAAUCUGUAAUAUGAAAUAAAUUCUUUCCAGGUUACCUUGGGUCAUGGUGUUUAUCGUGGCAAUAGAUAUUUUAAUUGCUUAAAAUUAUGUUCAUGUAAGUGCACAUGAGUGCAGUGCCUGAGAGAACCGGAAGAGGCUGUUGGAUUCCUCCUUCCUCCUUGAGCUGGAGCCUUCUGACUUGGGUGCUGGGAACUGAAUUAAGAUCCUCUGCAAGGGGUUGGGGAUUUAGCUCAGUGGUAGAGUGCUUGCCUAGCAAGCACAAGGCCCUGGGUUCAGUCCUCAGCUCCGGGGGGAGAAAAAAAAAGAUCCUCUGCAAGAGCCACUGUUCCCUCAAAAAAUAAUGAGGAAAACUAGCGUAUAUCAUGAUAUAGCCUUGAUUGAUUAGCAUUUUAAAGCUCAAAACUUAAAUAUGCCUCUUAGUGACUGACAUAUGUUAUCUAGUUGAGACUAGCCACCUUUAAGUUAAUACUGACAUAACAACCCCGUAUGCUGACUUUGUUUACUUUCAGAUGUGCUACGUUAAACUCAUUUGAUAAUUUGCCAACUAAUGGGGAAAAUUCUAGCAUGUAGACAGUAGGGACUCACUAGUUUCCUUGGUCAGAUUUUGAGAGUGAAGGAAUUCUAAUGUUGAAAGGUACUGGAGUUGUUUGAGAUGGAAACUUUUCUUAUGCCUCAAGGCCUGUGGGAAGAGAUUGCAAUUGGAGCCAGGGUCACUUGGUAACAUGAAAAUUAUUGAUGUUUGGUUGUCAUGAAGACAAAGUAGUUUAGCAUUAAUGGUGCAGUAGUAGUGCAGGAACUGGCCUAACCCUAGAGCCACUUCCUUGGCUGCCGUUUGCUGGGGUCCAUAAAUGCAAUCUUUAUUACCUUCUGUUGUUUAACUGGCAGGGUUAUUCAUAUAGACACGUUCUUUGAUAAGAUGUUUAGAGGUUCACUGAAAGCUAUGUGUAUUUCAGAGAAGUCAGAGUUUUAGAUCUUGUUAUUUCUCGGCCCCUCCCUUCCCUUUCUCUCUCUUUCCUUCCCUUUCUCUGCUUUUCCUGGCAGGGAAACGGAAUGAACAACCAUUUGGGCCUGUGAGAAUUCUGUGGCAGAGCUCUAACUCCACACAUUUUCUCCGAGCACGUUCUGGAAAGUGACUGUUUAAGACUCACUCCUAAGCUGUAUCCCUCCCCACCACUUUAUAAACAGAAGAGAGCUGCUCUACAGGGUUUCUAUAACCUGGAUUUCUUACAAAUCAAUUUCUGUUUCAUCAGGAUGAAGAUGUUUAGAGCUACUGGAUCAUGUCCUCUAUAAGAAUUGGAAAGAAGUCCAUGUCUAUGAGAGCAAAGGGAAGGUGGUGUGGGAUGAAUUUGAUAGACCCUGAACCAGGCAUUCGUGAUAAAACAUUUAUCUUUUAACUAAUUUAGCAAUAAGGAGAAAAAAGAAGCUUCCCUCAAUGUGUGUUGUGAGCAAGUGUUUGCUGGUCCACCUAGUGAAAGUGCUUACCUCUAAGCCUGCAUUUGAAACUCCCUCCUGCCUCCUCAGAUAACCCCCAGAACACACAAAAUAAAUAAAUAAAAUGUAAUUCAGAAUGUUUCCUGGUUGUCAGACCUUAUACAAGAAAGAGAUUUAAAAUGAUUGUGUUGGUGACAACCAGAGGUGUUUGUACUACGUGAGGUCCUUCGGUUCCAUCAUAGCCUAAUAUUAAUGAACGUUACACAAGCCACCACCGUAGCUCAUAGUCUAGGGAUUGUUCAAGCCACAGUGACAGAACAUGCAGAGGAAAGAAAGAAACGCUACCUGCUACCCUCAUCUCUGGUCCAGUUCAGCUAUCUAAAAACCCCAGGAAAGGGCUUCCCUAAGUCCAGCCCCUGGAUGCUCAGGCUCUGGUUAGAAGUGGAGAUACAGAGAAGAGUAUGUGUGGAAGAUGACUUCGGGCCCAGGCAGUUGUCAAUGUGAUCCUGCUACUUUUCUUAGAGCAUAAUGUUCAAUUGAUCACACCUUACCUUGUCUGUAUAAUGGAUACUGACCCCCUCAUAGUGCUACCUUGGAGGCUGGGGAGGGCAAAAACUAAAAUAUGUAAGCCAUCCCUCUACCAUAUUCGUCCUCAUGUUAUCCUGUGUCUUAGCUACUUUUCUAUUGCUGUGAUAAAACAACAGGACCAAGGCAACUUGUGCAGUAGUUCCAGAAGGACGGAGAGGCAGUGUGAUGGCAGGCAGGCAGGGAUGGUGCUGGAGCAGCAGCUUAGGGCUCGGAAAGGAAGCAGAGAGUCCUCUGAAACCUCAGAGCUUACUCCUAGUGACAUACUUCGUCCUGCAAGGCCACACCUCCUAAGCUUACACAAACACCCACCAACAAGGAACCAAGGUUUUUUCAAAUGCCUGAGACUUACAGGGACAUCUCACACAAAGUACGACAGCCUUGGAGUAUGAUUCGGCCUGCUCUUACCUUGUUUAAAACCAUUUGUUAAGGGAGAAAAGACGGGGGAGAGGACACUUCUUAAAGCAACAUGCAGGAGUUCAUGGUAGUUCAAACACUUCUCUGUGAGAUCCAUUAAAAAUUGAACAAAAUCCUCAUGUCUAUUGAGCUUCUAUUCCCACGUAAGAUUGGCAGAAACUGUAACUGACAUGAUCAUGCACAAGCCUGGAAAUGCUAAAGGAAAUGUCUUUUUUUAAAUCCAGUGAUAUACAAGCAUAUAAAAACAAAAUCUUUAAUAGGGAUGGUAACCUUUGAAUAAUUUGAUAUCAACCAAACACAGCAUAACAAGUUACAAGAAGACUAGAUCCAAACCCUCCUAUCAAGGCUGGAUGAGGCAACCCAGUAAGAGGAAAGGGGUCCCAAGAACAGACAAAAGGGUCAGAGACACCCCCCAAGCUCCAGUAGUUAGGAGUCCCACAAAAACCAAACGUAACAUAUAUACAAAGGGCCUAGCACAGACCCAUGCAGGCUCCGUGAUUGUCAUGUCAGUCUCUGUAAGUCUGUGAACCCUGCUUAGUUGAUUCUGUGGGGCGUGUGUUCUCAUGGUGUCCUCGGCCCCUCUGGAUCUUGCAAUCCUUCUUCUCUACUCUUUCUCCCCUGCUCUGACUAAUGUUUGGCUGUGGGUCUCUGUAUCUGCUCCCACCAGUUGCUAGAUGAGGACAACAGUCUCUGAGGACAAUGGGGCUAAGCUCCAAUCUAAGAUCGUAGCAGAUAUCACUAGGAAUCCUUUCUUUGACAUUUUUUGUUGUUUUUAUUUUAUUUUUUAUUUUAUUUUAUUUGACCAGUUGCAUUUGAUUCUAUCCUAGGUCUCUGGACUUUCAGAGACUCUGACCAGCCAGGCAGUUGAGAUGGGGGCUCCCUGUCAGGUGGGCCUCAAGUUGAGCCAGUCAUUAGUUGGUCACUCCCACAAAUUCUAUGCCACCGUUGUCCCAGCAUGCCUAGAAGGCAGGACAAGCAAGACAUAAAAGUGCCAUAAGCACAGGAAUAGGGACACUUAGAUGGACUAUAUCAGAGAAAAGAGAGUCAGCAUUUAGAGGGAAAAUCAAGUUCUUGAGGAUUAACCUGGCUGUCUUUCUUCUGGGUGGUGAUGUUGGUGACAGUAGAACUGAGUGCAGGAUAGUGUAAGUCAGAUUCUGCAGUGCACAUCUUCUAGGUUCGGUUAGAUGAAAGCCACAGAUUUGGCUGGUACUGGAAUAUCAUAGCCCCUAGAGCUCAAGAGUUUUGUCAUGUUACUUAACCAAAGGUAAGAUUGCCCAAAAUUGUUUUCAUACAUUAUUGGUUUCUAAUACUUGGAAGGCUCCCAGUCUGUGUAGAGAACAAGAUGGCAUCACUUGCUACAAAUGCUCUUAAAGAAUCCCUUCCUCACUCAACCUUUAGACAAAGGAGCAUUUAUAAAAUCAAAGAAAUUAGUAACAUGGUGUCAGUGCAUUGGAGGAGCCGUUUGCCUCUGCCGAAGCCCUCUGGAUUAAGCUAAUUGCAUUCUUUUGAAAGUCAGUCACCUUUUGCACACGACAGUUUUGUGCCAAGAGAAUGGAAAUGUCAGGUCUUUCUAUUAAGAGAAGUGCAUCUCCUCUACAUUGUCUGAGGCAGAAAGAGGCCUCCUCAGAUGAAUCUGAUUAGAACCAUCUUCAGUCAUCUGUGUAUGUCCCACCUUACGCUGUGUUCCGAGGUGGCCUUGUCCUCGGGCACUGCUUCCUGAAGUCUGUGGGGUGGAUCUUCAGCAGUAGACAAGUACACUAAUAUCUGACAGCCUCCUUCAGAUUAUUUUGGGAUGCCGUGUGCAAGACUGUGUUAUUUUAGUUCGUUGACUAGCACAUGUUCUCCAGAGUUUGCUAAUAGGCUGUUUUAUUUGUCUUUCUGAAACUCGGCCUCUCUGGUAUCCAGGCUAUGCUAAGGAGUAGGAGGUGGACACGUUCUCACGAAGACUGGCAGUAACUAUAUUUUGUAAGACGGAGUUAUUUCCGGUAUUUUAGUACUAAGACUCUAUAGUCCUGGAAUUUCAUAUCAAUGACUGAGUUAUAUGUUGCUUUUUAUUUUCAGUGAGACCAGACUAAAAACCUGAAUGAAGAGGGCUUAGAACAGCAGGUCUCAAAGGCUACUUUUGAGCUCCACCCUAAAAUUAACUCAACAUGGGAAGGAAUGACAGGACAUGUAUGGACGAACUACUGUGUGCUAUAAAGAUCAUGUUGGCUGUUUUCACACAGACAGCUAGCCCGUGUUUCCCCUGAAUGUUUCAAGAUUGGAGGCUAGUAUUCCUCACACAUAAUUCUAUUCAGAUCAGAUUUGUAAUAGUUCUAUAAACUUUUGUUUGGUUUUCAUUUUGUUUUCAUCAUCUGUGAAGUUCAGAUUUUAACCUCACUUUUGCAGUUUUUGAGACCCUUUAGAACCCUUUCCACCCACUGUGUGCUAUUGAGAACCUGGGCUUUCGUGCAGACUAUGCAAGUGCUCUCCAUGGAGCCUCCUCCUCAAGCUAGAGAAGGCAUUGUAGCUACCUCCCUAUCCCCGCAUUUCUUCUCAGCCCAGAAUUUUGAAAUUUAUAUUUAUAUGAGUUUUUAGUCACAUCAUACCCUUCUCUGAAUAAUGAGAAAUUAGAUUAAUAAAUCAACUACUUACAGACUUGGCCAAAGUCACAUGGCUGGGGAAUAAAAGACCCAGCUAUGAGUACAAACUCAAAUCUCACUGUACUUGCUCUCUUGGUGCAUUUUGCUGCCUGUAGAAGAUAAAAACAAAAGCUUUAAGUGCUUUGAAAGGGUUCACAGCUAUUUGUAUGACUAGAAUAUAAUCCAUUUUAGCAAAGAGAACUAGGUUAUGUGCUGUUUCUACAUUGAGCCAAAUUUUAUGUUUUCAGUCUGUAACUGAAGUUUUCAGGCUUCAGUAUUAAUUCUGUAUUCCCAUUAAUGAGAAAGCCGGCUCUCAUUAGAGCAGGUGACCAAUAGGUGAAAUCAGAGAGAACGGUUUAGGGGGGAAAGUAUUCUAGUAACUGCUGAUUGUGUCCUACAACAUACUGUGCUAAUUGCCUUGGAGUAAACUAAUAAUGUUUCAACCAGAUUUUCUAGAACCCCACAAGUAGCCAUAGGUUGCCUCUUAUUAGGAUAGUUUUAUUAUAUCAUUUCCUUUGUAGAAAGGCAAGGAGUUUUCAGUCUCUGUGAGUUUUACGUAAGUCUUUGAGGUUUGAGGACAGUGACAGCUGUCAUUACUGCAUGCCUACAUUGUAUUUUUUUUUCCCAAGACAGGGUUUCCAGCUGUGGCUGUCCUAGAACUCACUCUGUAGACUAGUUUGACCUCUAACUCAGAGAUCUGCCUGCCUUUGCCUCUGGAGUGCUGGGAUUAAAGGCAUGUGCCACCACCACCGCCUGGCUGUAUUGUAUUUUUGAGUACAGAAAAAUCUUCCCCAGUGACAGCCUGGCAGAUACCACGUAUGAAUCGUAGCCAUGCUUGGUUAGAAAAGUGAUAGCACUAAUUUUUGUUUGGUUUUUGGUGACUAUAGCUGUUCCAGAACAAUCUUGAUAUUGUAUAUUAUUUUUAUUUUGCCAAAGGGAAGCAUAUGUGUACUUUUGGAAGAUGGGAAAGCAACCAGUAGUCGAAUUGCUUUCUCCGGAUCUUGCCCAGUGUGUAGCUUGGGGCUAAAGAAGAGUGUUGGAAGAUGAGAAGUGUGUGUUAUCAAGGGUCCAGCUCUACAACAGCCAUUGUUGAAGGCAGAAACCAGGAAGAAGUGAGUAAAGUCAGAAGUCCCUACACUUGGAGGACACUGGAAGGGGGAGAGCCAAUGAAGCUGGUUUCUGUUGGGUCACAAAGGUCAUAGAACAGAACAAACAACAACAGAUCUAGACAAGGUGAAAGCGCAGAUCUCUUCCAACUUGGCUUAUGCUGCUGUCUUUCCGGAAUUACUAAUGUUACUCUUUUCUGCAUUUUCUUUUUGAACUAAAUAAUUAAUAAAUAAAACCGGGCAGCAGGUUCAUACCUGCCUACACACACACACACACACACACACACACACACACACACACACACACACCUCUUUAUGUUUUGAUAAGCCUUAUACAGCUCAAUACCUGGGACACUGUCUAACCUCCAUGCCAUUAAUCCACCUCCCACCAGCUGAUGAUCCAGUUAUUACUUACUAGACUCUAUGCAUCUUGGCUGCCCUGGACCCAGAGGACUCUGCUCUCCUGGCUCCUUCACAUGGCGUCCAUGCCUCUCUGUCCUGCACUCUUCUCACGUGGCAUCUCCUCCUCCACAAUCUCCAGUCCUAGGGAGGCAGAUUUCCUAUCUCCCUCUCCAUGACCCAAGCCCAGGAAAUCCUCGCCCUCCCCCAGCGCCCAUCCCCUCCACCCUUACCUCUAUCUGUCCUUCCCAACUAUUAGCUGUUGGCCAUUUUUAUUUACCAGUCAGCCAAUUGGGGGUAGGAUCCCAGAAGCUACAAAGGCAGUUUUAUGGGGGAAUAUAAUUAGCAUUAGAAUAUAAGCUACAUUUUAUCUAGUUAAUGUUCUGCUUCCAUCAGAAAGCCUUGCAGCCCAGCUCAAACAUUCUUAGCCAUUUACAGCACUUGUUUGACCACACAGCCUACUGGCUGCUGUUUGAUAGCGCAUUUGUGGUUGAGCCUGGGGUAGCCUGUUGAAUGCUAGCUCCACAUUUCAUCAAGUAAGAACAUGUGCUUGUUCUCCGUGGCAGCCCCGUGAGCUGCUUUUCUUUCUCAACUAGAUAGAAGUGUCUCCUCUACUUCAAGGCAAGACAGUAUUUUGGCUCAUGAUUUUAAAGGUUCAUGGUUCAGUUCCUUUCGGACGGAGGGGCUACAGAGAAAGACUAACCAGAACCAAGGCUGAAUGACAGAGAUGGGUUCCCAGUGACUUGCCUGGAUCAGCUAGCUCCUACCUCCUGAGGGUUUGGUGCCUCUAAAAUAAUGACAUCAGUUAAAACAAAUCAGGGGAAUGUGGUCAGGUUUGGAGCCUGCUGUGGUAUUUCUGGCUUAAACCAUAAUGCUGUCAUUGCUACAAAUUCGUUUCUUUUUAACCUUAUCUCCCUACAAAUCUAUUGCUUGCUUUAUGUACGUAGGUGUACACAUUUAUAAUUAUAGCCUUUAUGCAUCGAUUGCUUUAUCACCAUAUAAUGACUGCCUCAUUCUUCAGACUUUUGCUUAAAUUUUACUUAUCGGGUUCAAGUGUAAAUGCCCUCGCUGUCUUUUGGUUUCCAUAUGCACAGAAUAUCUUCUUCCAGCCCUUUGCUUUCAAUGUGUUUGUGUUCUUAAAGGGAAGUGAACCUUCCACAGGUCACUCGCUAUUUUAAUACUGUAGUUUUCAGAAUUUAUUUUACUUUUUGAAAGGCUGGUCUCUGCCUUCCCCUGUCAUUGUUCUUCUGUCUCAAAAUAUUCCCAGCUGAUGUUAUGAUUGUUCAUUUCCCUGCUGACGUUGGAGAAAUGGAGCUUCUCAACCUUCCUAAGCUGCGAUCCUUUAAUGUAGAUGUUGUGGUGACCCCCAACCAUAAAAUUACUAUCAUUGCUACUUCAUUUCUGUAAUCCUGCUGCUGUUAUCAAUUUUCAAUGUAAAUAUCUGAUUUGCAGAAUGUCUGAUAUGCAACCCCCAUGAAAGGUCCUUCAGUUCCCAAAGGGGUGUCGACCCACAGGUUGAGAACCGGUGCGGUAGGAGUUUGCCCGGGACGGUUGGGCUCCGCCUCAUAGUCAUUAUUCAGUGCAUUUCUCCACCUUACCACUAGGAACAACCCCUUGUGUUAUGCUAACUCCCUCCUGCAGCCAGCUUUUAUUCUCACCUGUUUCCAGAUUUGAACAUUGCAGUGCAUGCUGAUUCUGUGAACACGCUUUCUCUCUGACCAUGUGUGCAGUUACUUGGAGCCAGAAGCUAGAUUUCACUCAGUAUCACCAUCAUGCUUCCGUGACGAGGCACCUGCCAAUACCUGCCAGUGCCUCCAAGUCACCCAAGUGGAUCCCAGUAUCUCAGGCAAUCUGACCCGGCCUCCGUCACUGCCUCCAGCCAUGUGUAACCUGCCUGGGCCAUUUGUCACACCCUGCGUCCUGUCCCCUUUGCCAUUCCGUCCUUGGCUUUCUCUUAUCAGCACUGAAGGUUUCUGGCCUCCAUUGCCUCUGGCUCAGACUGGAGAUAGGGACCUAGCAUUUGAAAGCAUACUUAUUUAAUUAGGCUUAUGUAGAAACACUGAAGCUCAUUUAGGAUAGGUUCAAGCCAGAAGAAUGAGCACUUGUUUUCCAGCAGGAACCACGCCAGGAAACCCAUGCUUUGGAUCCUCUGUGGGCGCGGAGCCAGGGUUUGAGGUAGAAUUUCAGUGCUCAGCAACUCACCUUCGUUAGCUGUUUCAUAAACAUACUUAGAGCUCCAUGAAAAAUGCUCACCAUCUGUACUGUAUCCAGUGGCAGCCAAGCAGAAUGGAAAUUUUAUUCGUUUAUUUAUUACUUAUUAUUUAUUUAUUUUCACAUAUAUAUGGACUGUAUUAGUUUUCAUACUUUUUGAUUCAACAGAAAUGUUAAAUGUACUGUCUAAUAGACAAACAAAAUAAGUUCUGGUCAUAAGCUAAUUUCAAUUUUACUAGCAUCCACAUUGAGCUUUUAAAAAGCUAAGUAAAACACUGUUAGCAUUUUACUGCCCCCACUGUGUUCAAUUGUACAUCACACAUAGCAAGUCUUGAGUGUGAUUUUACAUCCUUUCCUGUUUGAAGUCUGAUGAGCAGUGAAGGUGACAGCACAUCCAGUUGCCUAGCGGCAGGUGAGGUCACCUUACUUCCGGAAUGCAGCAGCUCUUACUGUGGCCUACUUUGAACCUCCACCUCUCCCGAAUUCACUUAUGUAAAAGUCUCUGUAGGAGCAAGCGCAUGGGCGUUUUGAGAAAAGUGCACUGGUCAUUCAGACAAGCAUCUCCAUUAAAGACUAUGUCGAUCUUUCAGUUUCUUCAUCUCUGAUAUGACCGAACCCCUCUAGCUUUCAUACCGUUCCAGAGAGUAAUGGUUCAGAUGCUGGCCUCCCAUCCACAAGCCUGCUGGGAUUUUCACUUUACCAUAGCUAUUUCUAACAUAGAAUAAGAAAGCCAGGCUAAGAAUUUGUGCGGUUGUUUCUACCACUAGGGUUAGGAACAAACUGUUUUUCAGGUUAAUCCUUAGAGUCUAAGAAAAUUAAGUGUGCUAACCCUUGCAGCCUAACACAAAAGCAGUGCAUGGCUUCUUUGUGGAAGUCUCACUGUGGUGAUUAUGGCUGGGUGGAUAUUUCUGGGUACCUCCAUUGUCUUGAUUUGGCCCCUUGUCCCACCUGCCUGACAGACUAGGGCAUUUGGGAAACUGCUUAAGAAAAUACUAUAUCACCAGAUGGUGGGGGCACAAAAUACUGUGUCACCAGGUGGUGGUGGCACAAAAUACUGUGUCACCGGGUAGUGGUGGCACAAAAUACUGUGUCACCAGGUGGUGGUGGCACACUCCUUUAACUCCAGCACUCAGGAGGCAGAGGCAGGCAGACCUCUGAGUACAGGGCCAGCCAAGGCUACACAAAGAAACCCUGUCUUGAAAAACCAAAAAAAAAAAGAAAAAGAGAAAAGAAGUCCUCUAGCUUAAAGAAGAAAAAGAGGCAGGAAGGAAGGAAGAGAGGGAGGGAGGGAGGAAGGAGAAAUGUUGUGGCAACGUAGCAAUUAAAUAGCAUGAACAAGGCCAACACUGAUACACAGGCUAAAGCAGAAGAAGAUGGAAGGAGGGAAGCUCGCCAGGCCUCAGCGUCCUAGACAAGAGCUACAAGCAGCGAAGGACUACUGGGAGGAGAAAUAGUCUCCCCUGAGAAGAACACACCAGUUCACUGUCCAACACCUAAUGGUCAGCCCUGGAAACAUAGUCCUACAACUAACAUUAUACAGACUAUGCGAGCUGUAUUUAUGUAGGGUGUGUGUGUGUGUGUGUGUGUGUGUGUGUGUGUGUGUGAACAAUUAUAGAAAGAAGCUAUGAAUUUGAAAGAGAGCAAGGAGUUAUACAUGAGAAGGCUUACAGGGUGGAAAGGGAAGGGGAAAUGAUGUAAUUAUAUAUGAUAUAUAUGUAUGUAUAUAUAUAUCAUAAUAUAUAUAUUAUGAUAGCUAACUCUGAAUGAAAAUCCAAUAAAUUGUUUUAGAAACCUAAAACUAAAUAGCAAUUAAGGGCAGUUGACAUCAUUUUAACUGCUCUCUGGACGUUAUAAGCUAACACAAGUUUUCAGCCUAGCAUGUUUUUCAAGGCAUCAGCUCUGAACCUAUCAGGUUAACAUUUCAUGCUUAAAGUAAUAGCAAGACUUCUGGAGUCCAGCAGACAGCAUGGCUUCCCACUCUUGGAUUUGAAGGGAAUUCUUUUCAGGAGGAGUCAGAAUAGCUGUGCUUUCCCAUGGAACUGAGAACGGCAGCAUGCCUGCUCACUGUAAGACUGUAAACCUCAGAAAGGUCAUCCAAAGGUCCUUCAAGGACUAUCCAGACGAAUUGGAACUAUAGACGGAAAGGUUUGCUUUUUUUUUCUUUUGGUUCUUUUUUUUUUUUUUUUUUUGGAGCUGGGAACUGAACCCAGGGCCUUGCGCUUCCUAGGCAAGCGCUCUACCACUGAGCUAAAUCCCCAACCCCAAGGUUUGCUUUUUUAACACUAGUCUUAUGACAGGUAAGCAUGCUCUUGCCUACACUAACAAGAAUACCCAUUUAUUUCUAAUUUUGUAUGACAGGAUUAAAGUUUGAUUAUCCAGUUUAGGUCAAAUGAAUUUACUAAUGGAAUAUUUUCAUGAUUCUCCAUACCUAGGUUUGUGAAAUGCUAUUUAAGUCUGCAUAAGUGUCAAGAAAAGCAGUGAUUGGGACGGCUGUGUAGUUUCUAUUUAAAAGAAGUUGUAGAAAUAUUUAAUCCAGUCCAGGGUUUCUACCCCACCUUUGACCAUUUAGUUCCCGGAUAAAAGACACACAUAACCUUUAUAUUUACAAUAAACCUUGAUCAGCACUAGAGCUGGGCAGAUAUCUACCCUCUAUGCUACUAAAAUCUAUUUCCUGUCGAUAAACCUGAGUUAUGACUGUGUUUCAUCUGGACUGCUCUUAACUCUAAUUGGCCAUGCUUUCUUGACUUCUAACCCAUGGCAACUUGUUUUCUUCUUCCUCACCUUUUUCUCCCCCUUGUCAUUCUUCUCCAACCAGCGCCCCAUGCCCAGGAACCCUAAAACCCACCUAUGUCUCAUCUGCCCAGCUGUUGGCUGUUGGCGUCUUUAUCUACCAGUCAAAAAUAACUUGGGGAUAAGGUCCCAUAGCAACACUAGGGUCAAUGUGCAGACUCUCUUUCCUCUCUGGGGCUCCCAGGUCUUGACAAAAAACAAUAUUAACCUUACAAUACAAGCAGCAUCGGACCAGCCUACUACAAGAAAUUCUGGCUUGGACCAUCUAGACCAGUGGUUGUCAAGCUGUGGGUCCUGACCUCUUUGGGGGUCAAAUGACGGGGGUCGUCUAAGACCAUUGGAAAGCACAGAUACUUAAUUUACAAAUUUACAAACCAUAACAGUAGCAAAAUUAUGGUUAUGAACUAGCAACAAACAAUUUUAUGGCCAGGGGUCACCACGAUGUGAGGAACUGUAUUAACGGGUCACAGCAUCAGGAAAGCUGAGACCCACUGCUCUAGAAUAACUUCCUUGAAAAUGGAAAAUUAACACUGAACUAUGAAGAGAUGUAGAGUCUGGCUGGGUAGCUGGCCCACCACUGACUUACUUUGUUGUCUUCUUUGCCUUCUGCUGCUGUAACUUCUGAUAGAAUGUAGUUACGUGGGACGAUGAGCUAAUCUGCUGUGAGAACAUUGUAUUUUUCACACAUUUAUCUACAGGGUUUAUCAAUACAGUGGAGCCUUUGCAAUCCCACUAUGUCUUUGGUGUUUUCAUGUGAACCAUGGGGCAUUAACUAGAGAAUAAUCAACUCUUCAAUAAUAGGAUUCUUGGAGAUGACAUUUUUAACUUCUUUUAUGGCAAAUACUAAUACUUGCAAUGACUUUCUCAAUUGCAUGUGUUCAGUCUAGGAGGAUGGUCAGGGGCUAUGACAGAACAGGCAAUGCACAGGGGAACACGUUCACUGAAUUCGAGUUUACUAAGUACCUGAGGGAAAUUGACAUGUUUGUAUUUUAUCAGUAGUAUCCUGGUAACUCCCAAUUUGGAAGGCUUUGUUUCCUUAGCAUUCAAUAUCCUUAAUUUAAACAAGAAAAAUAAAUAUUCCUCUUUUUAUAUUCUCCUGUCUAGCAUUUCCUCUUCUUACACAGGACAAUGCUUUCAUUGUGCAGUUGAUGAACCUGAUGUUCACUCAGCUUUUUUUUUUUUUUUUUUUUUUUUUUGGUUCUUUUUUUUCAGAGCUGGGGACCGAACCCAGGGCCUUGCACUUCCUAGGCAAGCGCUCUACCACUGAGCUAAAUCCCCAACCCCAUGUUCACUCAGCUUUGUGGGCUGUCAGGGUUGGGUGGUGAAGGCCAGCUCCCUUUGAGCCCGAGGUUCUUAAAAGGUACUUUGUUCUGACGGUUUUUGGGAGUAAAUAAUUGCUAGUCAAGACAGAGACUGGAAGUUUGCAAAAAAACAGGAAUUAUUUCUAUAUUAAUGUUUGUGGAAGAACUCAGGCAACAAGAUAAUGACCCUUAAGGCCUUUGGGCUAUGGUGAAUUGUUCCAAUGAUGACAUGCUGUCUUUAGGAGUCCUGGAGAGAUAUCUUUAUUUUGUAUUGAACUUUGCUCUGAAGGGAUAAUAUUUGCACAAAUCCUGAAAACUGUAAUUUGAUGACUAUAUGGUAAUUAUUCCUGAGUAAUUCUGAACGUGAACUAAAAAUGCUAUAAAAUUUCAGUCUUAUGAAAUCAGAGACUAAAUUACACAAUACUACUGCAGGUAAAUAUUGAAAACCUGACAACCGUACAGCCUAGGGUAUGUACUCAUUUGCAGCCCAGAAUGCUUGUGCUAACUUUAGCUUUAAAGGUCUUUUUUUUUUUAAUCCCAGGGGAAAUUAUAUGACUACUUCUUCCCAUUAUUGCUUUGAAAGGAUUCUUCAUAAUUUUUCUAGCACAUUUGAUUUUAGACUGAAGGCUUUUAGAUAAAUUUAAAUGGACUCUCCUGCUAUUCAUGUCUGAAAAUGUCCUGCAAUCUAAUGUAUGUCCCGCUUAUAAAGUUAGUGCAGGGACUUUUUGCUGCUCCAAGCAAAUUUCGUAAACCCCAGAGAAUUUCUACUUUGGAAAACAAGGGUCUGUAUGUCUCUGGAGAUGGUUUUUUUGUUUUGUUUUGUUUUGCUUUGUUUUGAGAUAGGAUGUCAUAUAGCCCAGGUUAGCCUCAAAUUUUCUGUAUAGCUAAGGCUGGCUUUUUGGUCCUCCUGCUUCUGCCCCAAAUAUUAGGAUUACAGGUCUGCUCUAAAACACUUGUAACUCUUAGGAACCUGUAGUGUGAAAAGUAUUUCAACCCUUGGAUUCAGAUAGCCUCGGCUUUGUUUUGAGAAGUCAUUAACUUGUGGUUUAGUGGAAAUCACUUUGUUAAGGUCACAGUGACUUCCAGUCUCUUAUCUCUUAACUUGCCUGCCCCUUGAGACACAAAGUGUGUUCAAGAAGAAAGGUCAAGCUCUCACUGUGAUCAAAUCAAGCCUGUGGGGACUAAGAGUCCUAAGAGAACACUAAGUUUUAAGAAGUCUUUUUUUGUACAGGAAAAGAAUUGAAAGACUCGGCUUAGCCCUAGGGACCUUGGAGCCUACACACAGUGGACACCAACAGAGAUGUUCCACCCACAAGUCUAAAUCUAGACUCCCAAGCCUGGGAGUCAGAUUACUGGGUGUUUGGCACAGAGAGUUUAUAGAGCGCUUUAAUCGAAAACCUGUCACCCAUGUCUUCGUUUUGCUCCCAGACUUAACAGCUUUGUGGCUUUCUUUUUAAAAUGAGACUCUUUCUACGUCCAGUAGUCGGGCAGUAUUUUCUACAAUGUUAUUCAAUCCCUCUCACAUAGCAGAGCCGGUAUCAACCCAUCCUGGCACACACCCUGUGCUUGUAUUUCAGGAAUACACCCACUGCCUUGGUGAUGGCCUCGAGCCAGUUUGUGUAGCCAAGUUGUGGUUUGGGCGUGUGGACCCGUUCCUUUCUGUAACCCUAUCAUAAUCUGACUCCUUUUCACUACUGGAAUCCAAGCUGAGGAGCAGGUGCUGUGGCCUUGAUUGCUUCUAAUUCCAGGGCCAGUAAUACCAGAAAAUGCGUGCACAGACAAAGUAAUACUAGAAAAUGCAUGCACAGACAAAGGAAGUUGAAGGGGGCGAAUCCAACCACUUGGAAGGUUUUGAAUGAAUCUCCUGCCUCUGCUUAUUUCUUUUCACCCUUUCAAAUCCUAGGAGCAUCUGGACUGAUUCAGAACUGUCCACUGCUGACCCAGAGACCUGUGUUCAGGAUACAGAGCCUCAUGUAGUUCAUGGAAUCUUUUCAAGAUUCAUAUAAAAGCCAUUAUUGUUUUGAAACUGUUCUAGUAGCUAGGACUGAACUGGAUGACAUCAGCACCAUUUUCCCAAGCAUGUAGCUCUUAGAAAGGGCUUUCAAAGCAAACUAUAAUGCUAUCUAGCUAUACAAUGUGUCCACUCCUCUUCAUAUCAUUCCAACUACCAAUUGGCUUGAGAGACAGUGUCUUCCUAAGAAAGUUCAAGGCUAAGCUUAAAAUCUUAGAGAUCUUCAAGCAUUUCAAAGGAGAAAUGAAUGUUCCAUGCAAAACACAAAUACUUAAAACCCUUAAGUAUGUUAUUCUUCUUUUUACAAUUUUUAAAAAAUUUAUUUAUUUAUUUAUUUAGUUAGUUAGUUAGUUAGUUAUUUGUAUAUAAGUAUUUUAUAUAAGCCAUCCACAGACACAGCAGAAGAGGGCAUUGGAUCCCAUUACAGAUGGUUGUGAGCUACCAUGUGGUUGCUGGGAAUUGAACUCAGGACCUCUGGAAGAGCAGUCAGUGCUCUUAACCGCUGUGCCAUGUCUCCAGACCAAGUCUAAAUCUGUUAUUCUUACUUGUGGAGAUUUUAGGAAGGCUUUUUAAAUCAAAGAUGUCUGCGUCCAAAUCCUGACUUCCCCAUUGUGAAUUACGUUGACCUAGACAGUUUGUUUGAUCUGCCAAGCUUCCCUAUUUUUGUGCAUAAAACAUGUAGUCCUCCAUAGGAUUUUGUGAGAGAGCUGUAAGAGCUGACUGGCAUGGUUCACUGGCAAGCUCUUGGUAUUUGGGUCCUCUAUGUGGCAAGCCUGUGAUAGGUGUGUUUCCCAGGGGUUUGGUGUGGGGGUUUCUGAAUUGAGGUUACUAUGCCUCCUGGUCUUGUAUACUGUUUUUAUUAUGCAUUUGCAUACAGUUUAGGAAAUCCAUGGAAAAUCUGAUUCUCAUGUUUGACUACUGUUUUAUCGCUGUGAACUACUUACUCCAAGAAUGCUAAAAGAAAGACGUGUCUAGUGAGCCCAGUUAACUGAACUGAACCACUAUGGAAAAACAGUCCAUACAGAUUGUGUAGGUGCAAGGUGACACGCUCAUGGAUGAGUUGUGUGAGUGCCACAGUCAUAGGCAAAUCUUAGAAUCAUCACCCUUUUUACAUAUGUGAGUCUUUAGUCAGGACAAGUGUGUCAGUGAAGACAGCUUGCUGUUACAAGUGUGUCAGUGAAGACAGCUUGCUGUAGUAACCAGUUACUACAGUGAGAAAUAGUUCUCAACGCAGAAAUUAUACCUUGGUUAGGAUUUGACUAUGAAAAGUCCACCACAGGGUCCUCUGCUUGAACACUGGGUCUUUAGCUGUGCUACUGCUUUGGGAAGUUGUGGGACCUUUAGGACUAGGGCCAAGUUAACAGAGCGGGGUCAGCAUGAGUGUGUCUCGAAGGUGGUGUCUGCUCUGGGUCUUGCCUGAGCUCUCCGCUUCCGUGGAACGCCUUUGUGUUCCCUGGCUUAAGUGGCUUCUGUUAGGUAUUCGGUGACAGCUGUGAAAGUAAUGUAACAUCUUACUAUCCUUUGUCACAAAAUGUAACAUGCACUUCACACAGUAAAAGUUAUAAAUUUGCCCUGUUAAUGCCUUGUCCAUUUUAAUAUAUAUGAGAGGUAGAGCUGACAUGAGAAGAGUAUUUAAGUUUGUAUAUUUUUAAUUUGCUCGAGGAAGGGCCUUGCUGUGUAAGUCAGGAUGGACUGGAUGUGUGACAUUCUACCACCUCAGCCUCCCCAAGUCUUACCCUUAUAGACAGCAUCACACACAGCUUAAAAUAAAUUUCCGUUAAUCCACCCACAUGUACGCAAAGUACUCUUACUUAAAUCGGGCUUUAGUGACUGUGGUUCUCAAAGGAGGAGUGGUUUGUUUCUUUGAGCGUAAGGGGUUGUUUUGCCAUUUCUGACUUUCCUGAAACAUACUUUAAGAAACAUAGAAAUAUGAAGCCGAGUAUCACCAACUUCUGUGGAAAUUUGGAGGUGCCAAGAUACUCUCCAAGCCUUCUGCAAGUUAUUAAAGGGCGCCUUAGUAAACUUAAUUUGUAGAUGAUGCAUUUAUGAGAGACUCUCAAAAGGAAGAUAAAAACGCUGAGGAUCCUGACAGGUGUUUAUAAAAUAAAGCCAUAAAUCAUCAGACUCCAAAGACUUCUCUGAUUGGAUUUCUUAAUAACUUUAAUUUUCGUAACCGUAUCCCCUCAUUAAAUUUCCUCUUGGUGUCUGGAGACAGGCAAGACAGAUUAAAUUCCAGUAUCUUACGCUGUUCAUUAGGUGAGCAGAAUUGCUUUAAGAAUUCAAAUGAUAGUACCAAAAUCCCACUUGCCUUAAAUCUUAUGCUGUUCCUUCCUGUAAGGCAGAAGCCGUCCCACUUCUUGGUGAUACUCAACUCAGAAUAACAGGCCUCACUCAGCUCCCCCAAGUUGGCUUAAAAAAAAAUCGUUUUUUACCUUGAGAGUUGAAUGGGUGGUUUUGUUCCAAACUAUUCCAAUGGAAUAAAGAUGAGCAGGAAUGAGGUCUAGUGGAAUAAAGGUCUCUGAAAAGCAAAACAUUCUUCGGAGGAUUUUAGAAAUUGUUAUUAUUUGUGAAAAAAAAGUUAGUAGGACACCUAAAAUUCUCUCAUUGUUUUGCAUGCUUUGCCAUGGAAACAGCAUCUAGCAAAGGGUACUGAGGAAGGAGGGAGGGAGGGAGGGAGAGGAAGGGAGAGAGAGAGAGAGAGAGAGAGAGAGAGAGAGAGAGAGAGAGAGAGAGAGAGAGAGAGAGUUAGUUUAUCCCAUCCAUGUGCACUAGAAAGAAAAAACAGAAAACAGCUGGGAAACUCAACCACUUAGAGAUUUCUGUAGUUUGACCAGUACUAGUCACAUUAUGUUGAGUAUAGAGAAAUUGACUAUGUUGUCUGAAUAGCAAAUAAAUAUAAUUUCUUUUCAGUUAAUUUUAGAAUAAAUAUUAAAAAGUCUUAGACACAAGCAUAUGUAUUCUUUUCAAUGUUGACAGUUGCCCAGUGCAACCAUUUAUUCAUUCACUCUUCUAUUAUCCAACAAUAUUUGUACAUGCAUGUACACACACAUGCACCCAUGGGUGCCCGCGCACACACACACACACGCACGCACGCACGCACGCACGCAUGCAUGUAUGCACGCACACAACCUGCAGUUCCCAUUUUCUUACCUGAACCCUAGUGUGCUGUAUAUACUGUGUUGUGAUCUAUGAGUCUUGGCUCUCUUCAACUGGCCCCUACUACCAGUGAAUGCCUGGUCAUUUCAGUUGUUUUGUAUUUUAUUUAUUUUCAUCAACAUGGUGUCUGUUAGGUGCUAGCAAUGUAGCAGGAAAUUGGGAAAUCUUUUCUUUUGUUACAUUAUUCUCUAGUUCAAGAAAAGUUCAUGUGAGUAGAAUAAAUAGCCAGUGUGAGGAUAAAGAUUUCAAAUAGAACAGAGCUGUUAACCACAUUAGUACUGAGAUACAUAAAUCAGUCCUCUGGUGAGAAAUAAAAUUAGAGUUUGUUUGUUUUUUUUCUUUUUUCUUUUUCUUCUUUUUUCUUUUUUUCAGAGCUGGGGACUGAACCCACUUGCUAGGCAAGUGCUCUACCACUGAGCUAAAUCCCCAACCCCUGGUUUUUUUUUUCUUAAGACUAAUGGAUUAACCAUCAGUAGACAACUAUGGUCUAUGAUUCUUUAAUCAUAAGACUUGAGGUUUUUUCUUUUGUACCAGGGAUGUAACCCAGAGUCUCCAGCAAGCUAAGCAUGUGCGUUGUCACUGAGCUAAACCCCCUGAAGUUAGAAAAUGCUCUAUGAUUUACUGCGAACGUUAGGGUUUCAAUGUCAGCUAUGGAAGAUAGUUUUAAACUUUCUUUAAAACAUUUUUUUAAAGUAGUAGAUUUGACCCGUUUUUAAGAUCCGCUCUGAGUUAAAUGUUAAGUUGCUGUGAUAUGUACUAUAAUACAGAGGCAAAGACUUAAAGUAAGUACAGUUACUUAAGUACUAUGCAAUUCAGUUUUAUUUAGCCUCUCCCACACUUCAAAUCCUUGUGUUCAGAGGGACUGAUCUAAAGAGAGAUGUACUUGCAUUUUAGUAUGACUUAUAAAAGGAGUCAGAAACUUUGUUCUCAUGACUUAUUCUACAGUGGUUUCACCCAUGGCAGUGAAAGCACCAUGUUUGCUCUGUGUGUGUGUGUGUGUGUGUGUGUGUGUGUGUGUGGGUGUGUGUGUAUGUUUCUGUGUGUGUCUUUCUGUGUGUAUGUGUAUGUUUCUGUGUGUGUCUGUGUGUGUGUAUGUGUGUGUGUUUCUGUGUGUAUGUGUGUGUCUCUGUGUGUGUAUGUGUGUUUCUGUGUGUGUGUGUGUGUCUGCAUGUGUUUCAUUUUUUAUUUCCCUUUAGUCACUAGCUGAUAUCUUUACAUAAUACAAUGAAGGUGAAUUAAUAGGAAGAUAAAAGCAUACAAAAUAGAAAACCACGUUAGAUUAAAAAGCAGUAAUAUCAGCUCUUAGGGGCAUUGUAAGAUGCUCAGUGCUGACUUUGGUUUCCUGAGCACAGCUAUCGCCCUCCAGGAGCCAUCACGGUUCCUAGAGUGGAGCUGUCGCACAGCAUCCCAAGGUGUGGACCAUCAGUGAUGCGAGCAGGGAUUUGUUUAACUGAAAGGGAUGCCAUAUACAUCUAUUCUCCAGACUUAGGUUUAAUAUUGGUUUAAGAGCAGUGGUUUUGUGACAUUAUAGGUUUAAAGCAGGGAAGACAGACUUUAUAUUCAAGAUGCUUCCUUAGAAUUCUAAAUGUGUGCACCCAGUUAGUCGGUGACUUUUAGAUGAGAUCAUCUCAUGGACCCCUCUGAUGGCUCUGCAGAGUUGGACACACUAUUGUCCCCAUGUACUACAGUCAACUGACUGGGGUGACAGAGCUAAGCAAUGGAAGGUCGUGGUGGAACAAGGAUUUGUGACAACCACUAUAGAGCCAAGGUUAGUCCCCUUCUGCCAUCUGUCCCCAUCACUGUUUUAAAUAAACUUGCUGCAAUGGUCACAGCAAUACUUUGCUAUUGGUGAAAAUCUGCUAGCUUCAGCCCCUGAAUAUAUUUUGAAAACAGUAUGGUUUUUUUUUUUUUUUUGGUUCUUUUUUUUCGGAGCUGGGGACCGAACCCAGGGCCUUGCGCUUCCUAGGUAAGCGCUCUACCACUGAGCUAAAUCCCCAGCCCCCAACAGUAUGGUUUUUAUCUGCACAGUUAUUCUUUUAAAAAUAAACCCCGAAUCUUAACCUUAGCACUUCUCCAAAUCAGUUCUCAGAAGUACCCCUACUUAAUUUCCCAAGGAUAAGCACUCGCUGUGCUUUAAUAAAAAAUGAGCUCUUUAAAAGGUAAUGAGCAACUUUGAAAAUUACUGCUAUUAAUACUGACAGUAAUCACCAAACACUCAAACCAGAGACUGUAUUCUGCAGAGAGCCCCGUGAGACUUCCCCCACCUUUUAAAUACCAUAUCCUGACUUGUUCUUUUUUGUUUGUUUAAGUUUUAAUUUAAUUAUGUGUUAGUGUCUAUGUUUGGGUAUGUGCACAUGAAUGUGGAUGCCACUGAGGCCAGAAGAGGGCGUCCAGUCUCCCAUAGCUAGAGUUACAAGCAGUUGUGAGCCACCUUGUGGGUGCUGAGAACUGAACUCAGGUCCUCUACAGCAGUCGCAAUGUUCUCUAAACCAUCAAGCCACCUGGGCCACCAGCCUGCUUUGUUCAAACUUAGUAAAUGUUCUACAUACUUAAUGAAUAGGUAGUAUUUGAUGAAUAAGUUUAUUUGUAAAGCUUGAGUUAUAUAUAAUACUUUUCAUAUAAAAACCAUUCUGUAACUAAUGUAACUCAGUCUAGUAAUUAAAAUGUUAGGAUUUUUAUUUAAAAAUAGCUGGACCGCCCAUUUUAUCGUGUGCAUUUUAUUUAGGCGUUUCUUUAUUUCACAUUUAGAAUAAACUUGUCUCUCAUAAAGAAAGACUCUGGCAGCCCAAAAUUCGACAAGCUAAUUGGCCAUCAUUAUCACCUAAAAAGCUUGUUUCAGUGGGUUUUCUUUUCCUCUGAGCUUUUUGAAGAAAAAUUUCCUUAAGCUCCCAUCAGACCAUAUUAUUCUGACUACCUCAGUUAGCUGGCCUUUUGUGAAGGGCAGCACUCCCUCAUCAAAUAUAAAUGAGUUACAGUUACUUCAGGAAAGUCACCUUAACUACUUAAUUCUUCCUGUUAGCUAUCACAGUUCUACCCGAUCUCCCCAGUCAGAGCUGUCAGUGCCAUUUUCUCUCCAACAACCAGACCGCCUUCCCUUAUAAUUUUCUGCCUCCGACCUGAAGUUGCCCAGCAAGGACCAGUCCCACUUAAUGACUGAGAUUUGGAGUGUUGCUGUUCAUGCCUUUACACUCUGUUCUGUUGCUUCUGGACCCUACGUGUACAGAGCGAGGAGAUGUGUUGGGUUCCCUUUCUCAUGAAUCCACAUGGAGGUUUCUAAUUGAAAUGGAACAUUAUUUUUUUAAUCCUGUUUGCCUCUCCUUGAGUUUUACUUCUAACUAAUGAAUUUAUUUGCUGUGAAAUUAUAAUGCUGACAUUAGUAGAGCAAAGAGUAAGACAAGGAAUAAAGUUAUAAAGUUUCCAUACAGAAGGAAAGAAAAGGGAGGAUGAAUAUCUGGGCUAGGCAUGUAACUCCAAGGGUAGAAUGUGUGAGCCUCCUAGCACGGUGAGAGCUAGCCAAUAGAGAUGAAGCCUCCCACUCAGGACUGGCUUGAUUUCUCCGUGUUCUGUGUUUCAAGUGUGUGAUGUCUUAUCAAUGGGAUCUUGCUGUCAAGUUCUAGGGACUGGCAAUGACUGUGAGUUUGAGGGGGUGGAGGGUGUGUCUAUAGAACCUAUGAAGGAUUCCUAUCAGCUCAGGACACCAAGGUCUCAGCACAAAGGAGAUGGAUUUGCCCUAGAGCAACAAAGGUCAGCAAAUAAGAGACAAAGGCAGGAGAGAGGGGGGGAAAGGAACAAGGAAGAGGGGAGAAAAGUCAAGAGGGAGGGGGAGGGGUAUUUGUCCUGCUGUGGGACAAAGGACUGCCUCAGACGGCUGUGGCACAUAAGGAAAUGGCAAUUUAUAAAGGUAAAGGGGGAAACCCCAUGUUAAGAUGAGAUGUUUAAUUUUAAUUGGGCGUGUUAAUUAGGAGACCAAAGCGGGCUUUUGAUAGCUGGACAUUGGACAGUUUUGGGAGAAGGAAGUGGGCAAAUAAAGGAAUAUAUUUUAUCGGCCAGCUUUAGGAAUGUACCUAAAGAUUUUUAGCAAGGCAGAGUGAAGGGGGGGGGGUGUGGUUGGGGGAGGGGAAGAAGGCCUGCCUGAGCCAGCCAGAAUUCCUUCAACGCCCACAGGUCUUAUGGGUUUAACUUUAACUCCCUUUUAAAAAGUAUCUUAAGACCAAGCGGCUGACAGCAGCUGUAAAGCAAGGAGAGAACUCAGUAAAGACCCAAGAGUUUAUUCUUUGAAAACAAAAUGUGUGUUUUAACUUAAGGCCCUAUGCUGCGCACCUAAGGUUUCUGGCUUCCCGAUGCCUCAAGUUUAAGGUAUCACACGGGCAGCUCCUCACAAGGCAUAGCUCCCUUUCUGUGACAGGCGUUUGUAAUCUUUGAGCUUACCUCACAACACUGUUCUGUUUGAAAGAAUUCAAACCACCCUUGGGAAAAGGAGAGGGUGGAGAGGAGUUCAAGGUCACCCUCAGUUAUAUUAUGUGUAAAACAAGAAGUGCAUGAGUGUUUUCUUUUGAGUUUUACUGUUAUUAUGUUGUGGUGGUGUUCUUAGUGCAGCCAAAUCUGUCUUGUCUUCUUACGCAGGAGGGAGGGAGAGAGGAAGAAGAGAGAAAAAAGUGAAUGAAAGAAAGAGGAAAGAAAAGAAAAACUCCUACCAGUGACCUGCCUGUGAACUUUGAACCAGUGCUUCUGAGCUGGGCCCUGAGCCCUUCCCUAAUUGCUCUUAGAAUUGUUCUCUGCUUGAUCCUUGCCUUCAGGAGAACCAUCUUUUUUGACAGUCAAUGAAAUUUACAGUCUACACUUCCUCAGAGUGUGGGGAGAAACCUUAGGUUAUUAUGUAAACUUUCUGACAGGCCAGUUUUCUUCUGGAUAAAUAAUUUUUAAAACCAACUCCACAAGAAGCUUAGUAAUUUAAGAGGGUCAUAUGAGUGUAUUCAAUAUAGAAAAUAAGGAAGGCCGAGAUAAGAGAAAAAGAAGCCCUUGUAAUCUGAGCACUGGAGAAAGCUUCAAGCUUUGCUCCUUCCUCUUCCUCUUCCUCUUCCUCUUCUUCCUCUUCCUCCUCCUCCUCCUCCUCCUCCUCCUCCUCCUCCUCCUCCUCCUCCUCCUCGUUGUUAUCGUCGUUAUUGUUGUCGUUUGUUGCUUGUUUGGGGCUCUGUGAUGCCCACAUUAUGUGAAGCCAAUGUAUGCAUUCUACCCUUAAAAUUAAUAAAGAUUUUGAGCAAAAAUACUUUAAUUUUUAAAAGUUAAUGUAUUUACUAUAGCAUAACCUCUUGACAGUUAUUUAUUUUGGUGAGCAUUAAUGCAUAAUGUCAUUUAUGGAAUUAGAAUUAUCUCCCAAAAUACAUGUGUGGGCUAAGACUGUGUAGAAAGUAGAACAGUGAGGAACAUGGACCCUGAAGCCGGUGACCAUGCAUUUGAUCCCUGCAUUUGCUGCUUCUCGAUAAGACUUUCAGAGAGCUAAACUCUGAGGCCCAUUUCUUAUCUGUAACCUGAAGAUUUAUGGUUCCUCAGUAAAGGGCUUUCUGGCAAGGAUUGAAAGAGGUAAGUGUUGGCUCUUGGGAAUGUAGGUCAGUGACUACAGCAGCUGCCUAGCGUGACCAAGGUUCAGGGUUGUAGCAGGUGUGCAUGUGCACGCGCACUCAGAGGGGUGGGAAAUUGCUUGUUCCGUUGUCUCCCAGUCCCCCUCAGCCAUAUGGAACGGGUGCAGUCGUUCCUCUUGUUCAAUAGCUCCAGUGUCUCUCUCUCUCUCUUUUUUUAAUUCUGAAUAAUUUAUUAUUCUAACAAAAGUAUAAAGUGUGGAAAAUUAGUGUAUCUGAAUCAUUUCAGAAAGUAGAGAAGUUUCCACUAGCAGACUUGAGAUCUUAGCACCUUUGAGAAGACAGUUAAGACAACUGGUACUGCCCGCCUCGGAUGACAGGUGGCUGCUCUUAAAAAUGCCUAGUUUCCUGGAACGACCACUCCAGUGGUCUGUAGGGUGUUCUAGAAAGAAGUGUAAGUGUGUUGAAGAGCAUUAGGAUAAAAUUGAAAAGCUGUUUUCCUACCAGCCAAAAAAUGGUAGUUAGCAAGGCUAAGAAAUGCGAAUGAACUUAAAAUUAACUGCAACAAAAAUUUAAUGUUCUAAUAAUCUAAAUAGAAUCUGUUCACUUCUAGUAAAUAAGCGAUUUAGAAAACAUGCUGAAUUAUUCUCUGUAAAAGUUACAUCUGGCUUGUUUUAUUUUUGUUACUGUUGUUUUGAGAUGGUCUCAGUUAGCUCAGGCUGCCUUUGAAGUUUCCAUUCUCCUGCCUCAGCAUCCAGAAAACUGGGAUUAGGGUAGAGUGUGUCACUACUCUCUGCGUAAGCAGUUUCUUAACAUCUAACCUCAUCUAGUUCAGUUCCUGAUCCGUUCUGAUCUCCUGAAAUUUUUCAUAAAGAAUGGACUGCCAAUCACAUUCCUAGAUAAGUAUUCUUUAGGGUUUGUUGGUUGGUUCGUUGGUUUGGGGUUUUGUUUUUUGUUUUUUUUUUUGUUUUGUUUUUUUUUGUUUUUGUUUUUGUGCGAAGGUGGGGAUGGUUUUGUUUGCCCGAGUGAUACUCUUUGUAUUACAGAGGAAAAUUAAACCGAACUCCAGUCUUGAACACAGCCCACCCUAAGAAUCAGCAAGUCUUUCAGGAUGAUGUAAUGAUCUCUCACUAGCUUUCAGGAACCAAGUGUUUGCGAAGUGUUUGCUAGAGUAGAACGUGAAUGAUGCUAUAGUCCUGGGCCUGUUCCUAGUGUCAGGAAUCCUGUAGGUCUUUUUAAAAAAAAAAAGCCUCAGCCUUCUUUAGCUGUGGUUUGACAGCUCAAAUUUCAGUGUUUCAGAACAGCUAGCUUAACGUGACAAAAAACACGUUAGUGUUAAUUUUGAGAAAGACUGAUUUACUUCUAUGUGCAAAUUCGUUAGGAAUGUUCCGCCCUCCUCUGUUCAGCCGGCUGUCAAGAGAGAUUAUAACGUAACCCACUGGAGGAGCAAAGAAGCCUUUGACGAGGCCAAUCUCAUUGUACUGUCACAGUUGGCUAUUUCUCCGGUGAGAGUGGAUGCCAAAGCCAGACUUUAUAUGUAAUUUUAAAAAACAGAAGAAAGAUCCGUCAGGAGAUAUACUAAUUGGGCUUUUAAAGGCUGGGAAAAUUAAUUACCUGUGUACAUUUCUCAGCUCCUGGAAAGUGUAAAUCCUUCUCAACAGCCUUUUUGAAAUACCUUGACAUCAUUGUUGUUAAAUGCUUAUAAAAUGGAGAGUUCAAAUCUGAUCAGGCACUUGUGCUGUGAAAAGGGAGAAGAGGCAGAAAGUCUCUUCUCACAUGGAGCUUUUCUUCCUUCGGGUUGAAGAAGGAAAAGCUAAGGGAAGUUUGGGAGUUAGAAAUGGAGGGGGGGAAUUGGAGAUUUAGCUCAAUGGUAGAGCGCUUGCUAGGCCCGGGGUUCGGUCCCCAGCUCCGGAAAGAAAAGAAAAAAGAAAAAAAGAAAGAAAAGAAAUGGACGGGAGAGUAAAGGAGUAAAGGUGGUUACCAGAGCAGCCAGAGCAAGUGGGAGGGGCAGGUCUGUGUGAGUGAGCUGAGAGAAAACUCUAAGAGGGGAGGAGGAGACUGCACCAGGAUGUGCUGCUGGCUGAGGUGGUUCUGAGAGACAGGCAGGAAUGGUAGUCCUUUUAAACAAAUAAGCAGAGGACCUACCUUGCUUGAGGGUUGCCAGGUGGCCUGCUAGUCGUGUGUGUGUGUGUGUGUGUGUGUGUGUGUGUGUGUGUGUGUAUCCUUACCUUCUGUGUGUUCAGUUAGUUCUCCCGCCUGGCUUUUCUGGAGCGAUAUUAAUACACCCAUGUGUUGACCUUUUGCUUUUGGAAUAAGCUCUUUGUUGGCCUGGGACUUCAGGGUGAUGCUGAAAAGAAGGAGUUGUCUGCAUAGACGAAGUCUAGAGUCGGCUUGUAUUUGCAUUCAAGAUGAAGUUGAAUGUUGCUUCUACAUUGUAGUGUUCUAGGACAAGGUGCAGCCUGGACACCUCUGUCUCACACAGUAUGGAGUGUGUUUCACACAGUACAGGGUGCAGCACAACGACCAUGCGGGUUGUAAUCACAGCCCGCACUUGUUUUACCUGCUGACCACUCCUUUCUUGAAAUUCUCGCUCACUGUCUUCUCUAGUGGUUUUUUUUUCCUCUUUUUUAUCUGUCAAAAAAAAAGUCUUAGUUACUCUUUCCUUCUGGUGCAUGUGCUCCUGUAGAGUGGUCAUUCUGUGCCUUUGCUGUGAUCUGCUGUGGGUCACAGCCCAUGGAUCACUCCCAUGGAUCAGUCUCUAAGGACACGGGGAUGGCCAAUGUCUGGCCCCCCAGCAGGCAGGCAGUCCUUAAGGGGUCAGUGAAGAACUACACUUCAUCUCAUGAGUUUCUCUUUGCUGCCUUCGUCUUUACCCAGACACUGUGUCCUCGCCUUCCCUCCAUCCUGUCUCCUUAUCCCAGGACCCUUGUUCUAUUCUGUGAUGGGAGCCUUGGGUCACAGCUUUCCCAAGGCCGCCCCUUCUCUCAGUACCCACUCCUCACCAUAGGUAAAGUAUCUGGCCUUUUAGAGAACCGAACAUGAUGUGGCCAUGAAAGGCACAGGCUUUGAAGGCCACAGGACACUUGGGACAAACUAGACAAUAACCGGCUACACAUUUCCACCAGAGACCAGGCCUGUUGAGAGUUGAAAAGAAAAAUAAAAGCCAAAACAUGUAUGACAUAAACAACCUGAUCCGCAUUCAGACAUGUUUCUGCUGCACCUGAUUAUGUUCCUUAGACUAGAACCGCUAAGACACAUUAUUAAAGCUUUUGGUCUGCGCUACCCAAUCUCUUCCUUGGAGUGAUUUUCAUUUUCUCUCUAGGUUUUCCAGACAAGGUUAUUUUGCAUCAAUUAAAAUGUAUGUGCUCCUAAGUUCCUUUUGCCCUGCUUCGUUCCUGAUCUGUCAGGAAGAAGAGGCUUCAGGGCAGAGCAAGGAAGCUCUAAGCAAAGGCUGCUUAUCCAGCCCCAGCUGCAGAAAGUAGGCCUGGGUCACGGGGGAGCAUUGUAUUCUGUUCUUACAUGUCUUCCCAGAGGGACAAUAAGCCAUUGCGCUUUUAGCUUUUCAAGAGGACAUUAAAUAUUCUCUCCCAACCCAAAUCGCCACUUUCCAGUUCAUUCUGCUCUCACUCUGUUAAAAGGUUUUCCUUAAUGUUGUAUGAAACGUUGAGGAGUCUGCUGGUGUCAUAAUUUUUCUGUGAGACAUCCAGGGAGAUUGGAAAUCAUUAAUGUGGCUUCCCUGGACUUGCCAGGUGGGAAAGAGGAUUAAGAACUAAACUGUCUGGUUGCCUUUGAGCGAUACUAAAUUAUAAAAUCCAGUGUUGUAUUAGAAACAAGAAUCAAAGGGGACAGGGACAUACAUGGACAUGCGCACACACACAAACACACACACACACACACACACACACACACACACACACACACACACACACACACACACACACACACACACACACACACACAGUCCCCAGGGAUUAAUGCUGGCAAGAAGCUUUCAGAAAAAGAGUCAGAAAGUGGAAUAGAGGGGGACUCUUACUGAGCAAUUUUAGGUGAGAAAAUAGAGUUGAUUGGCACAAGCUGAAACAAAGUUGCAACACGAUGUAAGUGGGCGGAGCUGAGCAGAUGUGACCUCAUCCCAAUCAAUUCAGCCUUAAGUACUUCCUCCUUUCAGUACCUGAUGAAAUGCUCUGAUUGUUCUUGCGGAAAGUCUAUUCAGCAGGGUUAAUUUCCCUUCUUUCAAAACCUUGUGGUCUUUAAAUGUAUGUUUCCUCUUCUCGUGUGCAUACAUAAUAUAUAUUCGUACAUACAUUAUUCAUAAGUUUUAAAAAUCUUCACAGAUUUCUAGCUUAAAAUCCCAUUGCUUUAAUUUUUUUCUCUCCAUUUUUUCCAAACAUUUGGGUUUUUUUUUUAUUUUUUGCUUUUUAGAUAGCUCAUUCUGUAGAAAUAAUCGAUAAGAUUUACUGUAAAAUAUUGGCAACUUUAUUAAAAUAUAGGAUGUACUUUACGUAUCAUCUAUAAAAUGAAAAAAUCUACUUAGGAGCUUUUCUUUGAAGAUUUGGGAAACACUUGGCUUCUGAACACAGAGAGUAAGAAUCUAUACUAUGGCCUUCGAUGGUUUCUAAAUAGUAUUACGAUUCUUUUACUACCUUGGAUGAGGUUUUUCAGUGACAUCACAUUCCUUGUAUUUAAAGCCCUACCCGACAAGCUUGAGCUCUCCCAAUAAAAUGUCAGCAUAAACUGAUGAGGACUUUAUAACACCUUUUGAAAUGUACUAUGAUAUGAUUCAUUGGUCAUCUACUUAAUACUUGUAAGUAAAAAUCAUUUCAACUCAGCUGACUAGUUAAUAUCAAAUAUUCACACUAAGAUAUUUUUCUUUUUUUUUUUUCUUUUUCUUUUUCUUUUAUUCGGAGCUGGUGACCGAACCCAGGGCCUUGUGCUUGCUAGGCAAGCGCUCUACCACUGAACUAAAUCCCCAACCCCUAAGAUAUUUUUCAAUAUGCCUUUACAUGGUUCAUCUCCAGAAUAAAAGCAUGAAUUUUCGUAAAGCCCCUGAGGGUGAAAAUCAUUUGGAUUUUAUAAAUAUUUUUAAGUUGAUUGCCUUCCAUAAGCUUCUUAGUUUUUAUUUUGUUUUAUUUUUGGUUUUGCCUUUCUCUGUGUAGCCCUGGUUGUCCUAGCUCAUUCUGUAGACCAGGCUGGCCUGGAACUCGUAGAGAUCCCCCUGCCUCUGUCUCCUAUGCUAUGGUUAAAGGCAUGCACCACCAGCACCUGGUUAGCUUCUUGAUUAGGUUUCUGUGCAAAUGACUUUGAUUUUGGUCAAAUGACUUUGAUUUAGCCUUUCUGAGAGUGGUAGUGCACACUUUUAAUCCCAGCAUUCUGGAAGUGAAGGCCAGGCCCGUUUGAUUUCCUGGCCAGUCAGAGCUACAUGGUGAGACCCAGUCUCCAAAACUAAAAUAUAAAAACACGUAGUCUUAUGAACAAAGCGGGAGGGUUGUUGUUGUUGUUAAAAAUAUUGAUUUGUUGCUCGUAGUUUUCUUAUAAAAAUUAACCAAUUUUAGUAUUUUAUUGUCUCAUUUAUUAAAAUUUAUGCCCCAUUGAUUAUUUUCGCAGGUUGUUAUAGUCUAAGUUAGAGUCUCUCUCCUAUUCCUGUUUACAGGUAUAAAAUGUAUCAAGGUGCUGCUUGUAAGAUGGGUUGGUCUGGGGAAUAAAGGGGGUAUCAGAAGAUUUACUUUCCUGUGUUUAAAUAAAGUACUCAUUUUUCUGCGAAGCGCCAAGAUUUCACUUGCAAGAGAGGAUUUAUCCAACACUGAACAAAAGAGGAGACUUUAAAAGGAUUAUUCAAAUUUUAGGAGUGUAGGGAAGUUAACAUUUGUGGUUAUCUCAUUUAGAGUCCCAAAGCACUAGCUUAAAGCGUAAGAUAAAGUGUCCGAGGUCAGUUUAUAGUCCAGGAAGUGCUGUAAUAAGAGAUGACCCACAGCUAGAUGAUUUCUAUGUACCCAGCCCUUGAGCAAGCACCCGCUGGGCUCCUGCUGUCUGCCUGGUGAUCUGGUCUCACAGAUAGACUGUUGUUUGCCUUACCAGGAAAAAAAUGUGUAAGGUUUGUGGGAGGAGGCUGGUGAGUGGUUUCUGCCAGCUAUGUUGCUGGUUUGAACUACUGUGUGCUUAUUGGAAAUUCCACAUUUGCAGAAUAGAACAUUACAGAUUACACAGUUCAAUACAAAGGAUUUUGAGUGACUCCUAUCCUCUCAAGCUAUAAUUUUAAUGUUGAAAGUUAAAAGUUAUAUUACUAAGAUCUACUAAGAUGACGAUACUUUAAACAUACAACUUUUUAAAAAGUACAUUUUUAGUUGGACAGAGUGGUACAUGUCUCUAAGUGCAGAGCUCCUGAGGCAGAGGCAGACGGGUUUCUAUGCAUUCUACAUAGCGUGCAUUUCAGGACAGGCAGGGCUAUGUAGUGAGACUGUGGUUUUUGUUCUUGUUUCUAAAAAGCAUAACUUCCAUGAAUUUAAACCACUUUGGUUUUCAUUUGGAUAUACUAAAUUUUGUUCAGAAUUGUACUCUAUACUUAUGAAUAAACAGAAUGGAUCUGUGACCCAUCUUGCUAAUAAUACUUUGAGAAAUACUUGUAGGCAAUACAAUCACUGGGAAAACAUCAAGAUCAAGAUCAAGCUAAAAAGUUGAAUUUUUUAAAAAAAGUAUGUCAUGUGGCACGUGCUUGCAGCCCCAGCACUUGGAUGUAGGAGGAGCAUAAGUUCAAAAUUUUCCUUAGCUACUUAGCAAGUUCAAGGCCAGCCUGAAACAUGUCUCAAAGACGACCACCACCAACUACAAAACCACAAAAUAAUUUUUUUAUGUUUCUGAGGGGUUUGCUGUCAUUACUAAUGUAAACCUGUAUUUGGAAGUAUUUUAAGUGAAUAUGUGUUCUGUAAAGAAAUGUAUUUCUGUCCAUUAGGAUUGGAUUUUGAUAAAAUAAAGUAAUUAUUUCUUCCCAGUU